rnacentral:rRNA from 1 species
GUGGGGAAUUUUGGACAAUGGGCGCAAGCCUGAUCCAGCAAUGCCGCGUGCAGGAAGAAGGCCUUCGGGUUGUAAACUGCUUUUGUACGGAACGAAACGGUCCUGGCUAAUAUCCGGGGCUAAUGACGGUACCGUAAGAAUAAGCACCGGCUAACUACGUGCCAGCAGCCGCGGUAAUACGUAGGGUGCGAGCGUUAAUCGGAAUUACUGGGCGUAAAGCGUGCGCAGGCGGUGCUGUAAGACAGGCGUGAAAUCCCCGGGCUCAACCUGGGAAUUGCGAUUGUGACUGCAGUGCUGGAGUGCGGCAGAGGGGGAUGGAAUUCCGCGUGUAGCAGUGAAAUGCGUAGAUAUGCGGAGGAACACCGAUGGCGAAGGCAAUCCCCUGGGCCUGCACUGACGCUCAUGCACGAAAGCGUGGGGAGCAAACAGGAUUAGAUACCCCUGUAGUCC